rnacentral:rRNA from 1 species
UACAUGGGGUGCAAACGUUGCUCGGAAUCAUUGGGCGUAAAGCGCGCGUAGGCGGUUACUUAUGUCGGAUGUGAAAGCCCUCGGCUUAACUGAGGAAGUGCAUUCGAAACUGGGUAGCUAGAGUACUAAAGAGGGUCGCGGAAUUCCUGGUGUAGCGGUGAAAUGCGCAGAUAUCAGGAGGAACACCCGUGGCGAAAGCGGCUCUCUGGGACGGUACUGACGCUGAGACGCGAAAGCCAGGGGAGCAAACGGG